AACGAACGCUGGCGGCAUGCCUAACACAUGCAAGUCGAACGAGACCUUCGGGUCUAGUGGCGCACGGGUGCGUAACGCGUGGGAACCUGCCCUUAGGUUCGGAAUAACUCCCCGAAAGGGGUGCUAAUACCGGAUAAUGUCUUCGGACCAAAGAUUUAUCGCCUUUGGAUGGGCCCGCGUUGGAUUAGUUAGUUGGUAGGGUAAAAGCCUACCAAGGCGACGAUCCAUAGCUGGUCUGAGAGGAUGAUCAGCCACACUGAGACUGAGACACGGCCCAGACUCCUACGGGAGGCAGCAGUGGGGAAUAUUGGACAAUGGGCGAAAGCCUGAUCCAGCAAUGCCGCGUGAGUGAUGAAGGCCUUAGGGUUGUAAAGCUCUUUUACCCGGGAUGAUAAUGACAGUACCGGGAGAAUAAGCGCCGGCUAACUCCGUG
rnacentral:rRNA from 1 species